rnacentral:tRNA from 1 species
GCCGAUGUGGUGAAAUUGGUAGACACGCCGUCUUGAGGGGGCGGUGGCGAAAGCUGUACCAGUUCGAGUCUGGUCAUCGGCA